GACGAACGCUGGCGGCGUGCUUAACACAUGCAAGUCGAACGAAGUGGCGAACGGGUGAGUAACGCGUAAUCAACCUGCCCUUCAGAGGGGGACAACAGUUGGAAACGACUGCUAAUACCGCAUACUGAAGGAGGGGCUUGCGUCUGAUUAGCUAGUUGGAGGGGUAACGGCCCACCAAGGCGAUGAUCAGUAGGCGGUCCGGGAGGAUGAACGGCCACAUUGGGACUGGGACACGGCCCAGACUCCUACGGGGGGCAGCAGUGGGGAAUCUUCCGCAAUGGACGAAAGUCUGAAGGAGCAAAGCCGCGGGAGGGAUGACGGCUUUCGGGUUGUAAAGCUCUGUUAAUCGGGACGCGGUACCGGAAUAGAAAGCCACGGCUAACUACGUGCCAGCAGCCGCGGUAAUUC
rnacentral:rRNA from 1 species